AGUUCUAAGAGGAUUGCAGAAGCAGCCUCAGGGCAUUGAGCACAGACUGAAUGACUCAGUGACGCUUGGAUCAGGUCAGAUCAAAUUCUCAAGCAAACAGAUGGCUGGGGAUAUUCAGUAACAACGGUGAGGAGAGAGAGGAACAAUUCACAUUUCAAGGGACCCUUCCUCAAAACGGUCUGUUCUGAAGGAACUUUCCCGCAGAAAUCACUGGAUUGAAAGGUCCCCAGUGCAUCCGUACAGA